AUUGAACGCUGGCGGCAGGCCUAACACAUGCAAGUCGAACGGUAACAGGAAGCAGCUUGCUGCUUCGCUGACGAGUGGCGGACGGGUGAGUAAUGUCUGGGAAGCUGCCUGAUGGAGGGGGAUAACUACUGGAAACGGUAGCUAAUACCGCAUAAUGUCGCAAGACCAAAGAGGGGGACCUUCGGGCCUCUUGCCAUCGGAUGUGCCCAGAUGGGAUUAGCUUGUUGGUGGGGUAACGGCUCACCAAGGCGACGAUCCCUAGCUGGUCUGAGAGGAUGACCAGGCACACUGGAACUGAGACACGGUCCAGACUCCUACGGGAGGCAGCAGUGGGGAAUAUUGCACAAUGGGCGCAAGCCUGAUGCAGCCAUGCCGCGUGUAUGAAGAAGGCCUUCGGGUUGUAAAGUACUUUCAGCGGGGAGGAAGGGAGUAAAGUUAAUACCUUUGCUCAUUGACGUUACCCGCAGAAGAAGCACCGGCUAACUCCGUG
rnacentral:rRNA from 1 species